GGAGUCCAGGCAAAAUCCAAAGCGACUGGAAGGGCAGUUUGUUAACUCAUUCAGCCGCCUCCUCGCCCCACAGCUAACGAAUUCUUGGGCGCCAGCCUGGACAGAAAGGGGAGGAGACAAGCCUGCUGUGAUGAUACUUUAACGAUGAUACAGGAAAAUGACAGGAUAGGUACCAUGUCAUAGGAAGAAUACUUGGAAGACCUGGGCUCAUUUUAUUGAGGCAUCCGUCCACAAAUGCCUAUGGAGCAUUCAGGCUUUCCAGAAAUAUUCAUGGAAUACUUUCUGUGUAUAAAGUGGGCAUUCGAUGAGCAAUAGCACCACCUGCUACCACCUACUAGAAAUGUCGUCUUGUAGAACAAAGAAAUACGCACGCCCUGCUGUUCUGCAAUCAGGCUCUGACAGAAGCUUUCAGGUGUGGUGCUUACAAGAUCAGACUCAUUGACUCACUCACUUCUCCCUGCUCCGUCACUACACUCCCAGGACAAGAUAUUUUGCUUAACAAAUAAUGACUACAUCCAACCAGAUAAGGAUACAAACAAGCACAUUCUUCCACUAUCAGUCCUCACCAGAGGACUCUGUGGCCAUAAAAAGAGUAAGGCUUCAGCAGCUCAACACAACUGACGCAGUCCUGCUAUCAGUUGCGAUAAGCACCUGGCAUCUGCCUACAAAGGCUCUGCCCACAUCAAAGACUCUUCCUUGCGAGACUGAGGGACUGCCCAGGCCAAGCCAGGAGAUUCUUUUUGUCUUCGUUGUUCUCCCUGCAAUGGUUCAUUAACUCUUUUUUCUCUCCCUUUUCUCUUGAUGUUAAAUGUUACUUUGUGAGCUGUGGAAUGUUUAACAUGUAUAUAGUGACCACGUAUUCUAUUACAUAUGGUUUUCAGUAUUAACUGACUUGUGGAGUGGCUUGAGCCUGUGUGCCCGCUAUUCUCACUACCGAGUGAAUGGGAAGUUCUGAGGAGAACCUCUUUCUUGGGAACUCCAUUGAGCUCAUGGUUUUUGUGAUUGAAACAGUAUCAAUAAAAGUCUGACCUUGUGGCAAGAUACAAAUGUAUGUGGACCUUGCACGGCUCAUGAGAGGCAUAACUCUGAAACAUGGGUCAGAAUUCCUGUCUUUCUGUUUCAAAUUGCUCAACAGUGCUAAACAUAUUGUUUUAGACAUAAUAGGAGCUUAGCAAAUGAGUAUUUCUGUAUUUGCUGGCUUCAAUUGCCUUGAAUUAACACAAGAAGCAGACCAGACUGGGGAAGAAAGUUAUUUGUAUAGAGAAAUUCUUAAAUGGCGAAUCUGUAAGGGGCAUUAUCCUUACAUUCUCCCUUCUCUCUGCAUGCCUCUAACCAAAGACAGACC
rnacentral:lncRNA from 1 species